rnacentral:rRNA from 1 species
GACGGGGGGGGCAAGUGUUCUUCGGAAUGACUGGGCGUAAAGGGCACGUAGGCGGUGAAUCGGGUUGAAAGUGAAAAGUCGCCAAAAAAGUGGCGGAAUGCUCUCGAAACCAAUUCACUUGAGUGAGACAGAGGAGAGGUGGAAGUUUCGUGUGUAGGGGUGAAAUCCGUAGAUCUACGAAGGAACGCCAAAAAGCGAAGGCAGCUCUCGUGGGUCCCCUACCCGACGGCCUGGGGGUGCGAAAAGCAUGGGGGAGCGAACAGGG